rnacentral:rRNA from 1 species
UACGUAGGGUGCGAGCGUUAUCCGGAUUUAUUGGGUUUAAAGGGUGCGUAGGCGGAACAUUAAGUCAGCGGUAAAAUCGAGGGGCUCAACCCCUUUAAGCCGUUGAAGCUGGUGAUCUUGAGUGGGCGAGAAGUAUGCGGAAUGCGUGGUGUAGCGGUGAAAUGCAUAGAUAUCACGCAGAACCCCGAUUGUGAAGGCAGCAUACCGGCGCCCGACUGACGCUGAGGCACGAAAGUGCGGGUAUCGAACAG